GUGUGGUGGCAUUUGCCUGUAGUCCCAUCUACUCGAGAGGCUGAGGCAGGAGAAUUGCUUGAACCCAGGAGGCAGAGAUUGCAGUGAGCAGAGAUUGUGGCACUUGAACGGCCUGGGUGACAGAGCGAGACCCUGCCUCAAAAAAAAAAAAAAAUUCAGAAAUUAAAAAAAAAGAUUGUCAUGUUAGAGUACAAUGUUAUGAAAGAAAAUGUCAUCAUGCUUGUUGAAGAGUAUGAG
rnacentral:lncRNA from 1 species